CUGGAAACUCAAUUAUUGAAAAGUAGAUUUCAAAUUGAUAUUAACUAUCUUCAACAAAUGUACUAUAACAGAGAGCAUGAUCUAGUUCUAGGAAAUCCUCUAGAAUUUUUCUUGUUAAAGAUAUUCCAUGAAUCAUUAUAUGUGAAGAAUGAGAGUCAUGUUACCUUACAUGCCAAAGCAGGGUCGGAGCUCCGUAAAGCACCAAAAAGCUAAAUUAAAGAGUCUAGCACAAGAAAAGUAAAUGAUGUUUUGUUAUCUUAUAGUGGUGAGCAGUAGUGGAGCUAAAGGGAGCCAAGGGCAUUCAAAUUAAUCCCCUUUGCCGAAAAAUUAUAAUACGUGAAUAGGGUAAAAAAAGUUUAGGUAUAUAUGAAUUGCUGAAUUCGCUUGAUAUAAGAAAAGAUUCUAGUGUAGUGGUAAUGAGAUUAUAGCAAAGAAAAGGAAAACAAAGAGGAAAAAAAUUAAAAUAAUUCUGUGCAUUCUAACAGAGAAAUAAAGAUGAAAUUUCGGGAGAAAAUCUAGAAUACAAGUAUAAGCACCCGUUGGAGAAACUACAUCCAGAUUUUACUUUAUACAGGAAAAAAAUGCCAUUCAAAAAGAUCUCGAAAUAAACCCAAAAUUAUAAAUUGAACUCAUCUAUAGAAAUUAUAUCAUCAAAGUAAACAAGUGUUGGAAAUUUGCUUCACCUAGACAAAUAUAAGACCUAUCUGUUUGCCACCAUCUUGACCUGUGCAAGUGAUAAGAUACAAGAGAUUCAACGAUAUUUUAAAAUUAAGAAUUAGGAAUUAUGAAAUUGUAUGUAAAUGAAGUGAAACCCCUAUAAACUUUUUCUAAUAAGUAAAAAGGUUCUCAGCCUCAGACCUCGGGACUGUUCAAUUAUUGUAUAAUCGAAACCAUAAUCCAUCUGUUCGUUGACAAAUUGGAAACAAAACAGAACUGUUUCAGGAUUUAGAACCAGAUUAAGAUGACGAAUUAGUGUAUGAAAAUCUCUUUGUACCCAAACAAAACCAAGCAUCAUAAAAAAGGAAAGGGGAAUGUAUGAUGAAGAACAUACCUUUGUUGUUCGGAUUGUGGCGACUUGCCCUGUAGAGAAGAUGAUGAAGAAAGGGCGUCCGCAACUUGCUCUACUGAAAGAUUUCGUGAGUUAAGAGGCACGGGAAUUGAGCCCUAAUUGAUAUUCAUAACUUCUGAACGUG
rnacentral:lncRNA from 1 species